rnacentral:rRNA from 1 species
UACGGAGGGGGCUAGCGUUGUUCGGAAUUACUGGGCGUAAAGCGCACGUAGGUGGCUUUGUAAGUUAGAGGUGAAAGCCCGGGGCUCAACUCCGGAAUUGCCUCUAAGACUGCAUCGCUAGAACGUCGGAGAGGUAAGUGGAAUUCCGAGUGUAGAGGUGAAAUUCGUAGAUAUUCGGAAGAACACCAGUGGCGAAGGCGACUUACUGGACGACUGUUGACACUGAGGUGCGAAAGCGUGGGGAGCAAACAGG